UCUGACAUGGUGCACAUAAAAAAUGUUGAAGAGUGAUAUGAAGACUCAAGAAGCUAGUAUUGUUUCAAGAUGCAAACCCUUAUCUCUUGUAUGCAAAAUGGGAGUAAUUAACAAGGUUCAGCGAAAACAGCAACAUGUAGCACAAGUUUUGCCUCCAGGAAUGUACACUGGGUGGCAAACAAAGAUUAUUACAAAUCUUUUUUGAAAGGAAUUAUUACAAAUCUUGAUGUACUCCGUCAAAGGAGCGGAAACUAGAAGGAACAUAGCGACAAAAAAGUCCCCAAGUGCAGCCAACGACAACAAGACAACUGCACGGUACAACGACACGUUCUCAUAUCCAAGCUGCAAAGGAUGUAGGAUUACGAGCAAGAUGAGCAUUGAUCGUCGCAAAACAAGGUUCUGGCUCCAACUGCUCAUGUUGGUUGCCAUCUACUGGGUAUGAAAAUACUCGAGCGUUUUCAUCCAACUGAUAGACAAGGCCACCCCUUAAACCCAUUCUCUCUGGGUUCACUAAGAGUCGUGGCUGUCCAGUACGUUUCUCGCCCAAGAAGAACUUCCACUUCUUCAAGCCUCCCUCUUCCACGAUCACAUACUUUGCAGGUUCAGUUGAGAAGUCAAUGGAGAAGGCUUCCCCGUUACGACCAAGUAGGAGAAGUGUGUCUUCACAAGCCACCAAAUUUCCGGAAAGCACGUACGGGUCCAUAUAAUCUCUGCAAUCAAGUCUUAGUAGCUCAACAUGAAACUGAGGUGUCAAAUGCACGGUGUAUAGUUUUUGACGCAUCCUCAUAAUGACCCCACCUUUGAAGGACACCAUCUCCUUGAUCAAAUGUGCAUUUAGAAAAUCGCAGUGCAACCAAGAGGGGCUCCCAACUCGCCAAGCAUACAGGCAGUGCGGGCUGCUGAAAAAUAGAUAUGAAUCUGGUGACGCCUCUGGAGAUAUGAAGGUUCUGUAGCAUAGUUGACUCAAUGGAAAAGGUGGAGCUGCAACCGUAGUGCCAGUGAGCACGUCCAUAAUGACAAGGGAUCUCUCGUAGCAGAAAAUAGCAUGACCAUAAGAACAUUUGACGACUGCCAUUUUGUCCAAAAUACUUGGAGGGGUCAAGCGACACAACGGAGUACUUGGAUAUACAGGAUCAAUGAGCUCCCAUGUGUUUCCAAUGUUAGAGCCAGCUGAGCUUGUCUGGUCAGCACAGUUCCGGAAAAUAACAGGUGGGAAGAGCUCGCCUAAGGUAGAUUUGAUUGACAUGAAUGCGGCAUACCAGCUAGGGCAGGUGGCGAUGAAUGCAAGAAGGUCACGAGUUGAACCCAACAGGACAAUGAUGGAGUGCAAUAAUCCAUGUGGUAGGUCCGCCCAGCCUUCGGGUCCAAACAUGACACGGUGCACGGAGAUGGGGGUGUCGGAGCUCCGGUUGAUAUUUUGCAUGAUAUCAGCUUCAAAUUCUGCAUUAAGGAUCAUGAAAGGACAACAAUUUUAGCAAUGGACCUGAGUUAACUAUAUAAUAUAAAUUGCUAUCACUAUUUUUAUUAAAUUGGUACUGCUACUGCUAUGAUAAUUAUACAAACACAAUAAAAAUGUUUGUAGAAACUAUAAACAUAAUACACAGUAGAGCAAAGACUACACUAUUGCCAUCGAAAUGUGCAUCUGCCUCAAGAAAAUUCGAUCACGAUAAAAUUCAUCAACAGUUGAAAAGGAAAGGCAAGUUCUGUAUUUUUCUUUCCACCGAAUGUUAUUUAUAUGUGUUGCGCAACAGGUUUGACUCUUGUCUCCAGGUCGAUUCCGGGCCCACAGAUACGCGAUAAAUUUCAUCAACAUUUGAAAUUAAAAAGUGCAAGCAAUAUUGAAAUUCUAAGAUUGUUCUACACUGAUAGUGGUAAACCCUUGAACUAUUUCAUAUUUUCAUAUAGUAUAAACACAACAGGAUCGCACAUCCACCAACAACACAUACACUCAGAUCCCCAAAUCAUCAAUGGCAGAGUCAGGCUACCAAGAACAAAAGUGCGAUGAACGCGUCAGAGGAGGUUGCCCACAAUGGGGGGAUGACGGGCCAAGGAAGAUGAUCCUGGGCAGCCUUGCGCGGUUGAGAACUCUGUCUGAUCAUGGACCGUGGCACCGGUCAGCAAAUAUAUAUACUCGGCCAACCCACGAGACCAUGUCCUACAUGGAAAUUGACUUAACCUAGAUCACAUCGUAUACUACAUAUUUGGACUCAAGCUUGACGCGAACACGUGAACUCCUACUAGUACAUGUACAUGACUUUGGUUAGUCCCCAAAGAAAUAAAGCCACGUGACAUGCAAGCACCAAGUACAUCAUGUUCCAAACAAAACAAUCAAGAUUAUGCUAACACUAGCGUCGGCCACUGCACCACCAAUGGCUGUCAUGGGUUCCCAACUCCAGUAGGAGGUGGGCAAGGUCUCGUCCACGAUACCGGCAAUCACUCCAAAGCUGCUUGUAUGUACAACUCAGAGCAAGGGGGUAGAACUCGACAUCAACUUGGUUCCUUCCCUUGCCAGGGCUGAACCCGGAGGGCGGAGGUGAUUCAAGGCCAGGCCUCCUCCAUGAGUCCGGCAGCCAGCAAGGAAAAUGAAGUGGGCGAAGUCAACCUCAACAAGGCUCCUCCCCUACCCCUGGAGCCAGUAACAUGAAAGCCAAGCACCACAAAGAUAAGAAUAGCACAAGGGUAAGUGUCGGUGUCAAAACUGGCGGAUCUCGGGUAGGGGGUCCCGAACUGUGCGUCUAGGCGGAUGGUAACAGGAGACAAGGGACAUAAUGUUUUUACCCAGGUUCGGGCCCUCUCGAUGGAGGUAAUACCCUACUCCUGCUUGAUUAAUAUUGAUGAUAUGGGUAGUACAAGAGUAGAUCUACCACGAGAUCAAGGAGGCUAAACCCUAGAAGCUAGCCUAUGGUAUGAUUGUUGUUCUGUCCUACGGACUAAAACCCUCCGGUUUAUAUAUACACCGGAUAGGUUAGGGUUACACAGAGUCGGUUACAAUGGUAGGAGAUCUACAUAUCCGUAUCGCCAAGCUUGCCUUCCACGCCAAGGAAAGUCCCAUCCGGACACGGGACGAAGUCUUCAAUCUUGUAUCUUCAUAGUCUUGGAGUCCGGCCGUGACGAUAGUCCGGCUAUCCGGACACCCCCUAGUCCGGGACUCCCUCGGUAGCCCCUGAACCAGGCUUCAAUGACGACGAGUCCGGCGCGCAUAUUGUCUUCGGCAUUGCAAGGCAGGUUCCUCCUCCGAAUACUUCAUAGAAGGUUUUGAACACAAGGAUAGUGUCCGGCUCUGCAAAACAAGUUCCACAUAACACCGUAGAGAGAAUAAUUUUUGCACAGAUCUGCUGACGUAUUCCGCGGCGUGACAUCACACCACGGCCAGGCCUUUAUAUGAAUCGUUUUUACUGUUCCACCUCAGCGUGUUUAGCGAGGCAGUUUCCUUGGCACGUCUUAUCAAGGCGUAGAUCGCGCCCCCUUAUUCCGGGAUUCUCAUCAAUACGGACGUGGGUAACCCAACCGUGCCCAUUGGCCUGCCUCCUCUAUCAAAGGCGAGUCCUAAUCGACCACGGGGUGGGCUCUUGGUAUUCAACCUCUUUAUAAUAAGACCAAGGCCCUCUUCUUUUUACACCCUCCAUCGAGUUCGCCUUGCGCUUCGAGUUCCAACACCCAAAGCUUCAGAUUCGGGCGCUUCGGACUUUCAAAGAUAUCCGGAUCCGACCAGCACGGCCGAUGGAUGUCUUCCUCCGUCACAGAAGAAGACAUGCUAAAACUGCGCGACGCCAGGUAUCUAACCGGCGAGAUCUCGCAUAGGCUGCCUGCUCCAGGGUAGGUCAUUCCCACUCCUGAGCCCGGCGAGAACGUGGUGUUCGUGUCCCACUUCCUUCGGGGUUUAGGCUUCCCGACGGAUCCCUUUGUGCAGGGGCUCAUGUUUUAUUAUGCGCUUGAUUUCCAUGACUUGAAUCCGGAGUCCAUCCUCCAUAUCUCGUCAUUCAUUGUCGUAUGUGAGGCCUUCCUCCAUAUUACCCCCCACUUUGGAUUGUGGCUCAAGACCUUCAAGGUGGAGCCAAAGAUGAUCGAGGGGCAACAAGCAGAGUGCGGAGGGGCGGCCAUAAGCAAAUGUGCUGAUGCUCCAUGGCCCGAGGGCUCUUUUCAAGAGGAGCUUGGUUUGUGGCAACGGGAGUGGUUUUAUAUCACCGCUCCCAGGGGCACCAAAUGGGAGCCGCUCCCUGCCUUCCACUCAGGUCCACCACAGCGGCUGGCAUCAUGGGUCAACAAGGGGCUUGAUUGGGGGCUGUAUUCGAGACCUCCAGGAAAGAGGAAUCAACCUGGUUGCAGUGGCGCAGGUUAUGGUGAUCCGGCGCCUUCAGCCCUGCAAACGUCACCCCCUCCGCCUGUGGGAAUUCAAUCUGGAGGGACCACGAGCUCUCCAAAACUUUAUGGGCACGACGCCCAUGGAGAUGUAUAGACUGUUCUUCGGAUCACAAGAGAAGUGUCCGGACUUGACCGAGGACGCAGGACUAAGCUGCAAUCGCCCGGAUACUCAAGUAAGUAGUCCUGUAACCGGACAAGCUGUUUAUUCAUUUAUUUUAUAUAUGUGCCCUUUAAAGGAGCCGUUUCUUGCACAGGAAUGGAUAGCCAAGGCAAAGUUAAUAAGGUGUCCGGCUCCCCUCCCAGAGACCACGCUGGAUCCCAUGCUGACCAAGAUGUUGAAGGUCGCGCCUUUUGAAGAAGGCGAAGGGGGGAGCGGGAAGGCAACUACCUCUAUGAAGGAGGCUAUCAAGGAAGGAGGGAUUAAGAGUCCCACCUUCCGAGGAGAGAAGAGGACCGCUUCGGAAGAUCCGGAGGUCAAGGCCUCAAAGAGGGGAAAGGGAUCUUCGGCAAAGAGUCCGGCGCUGGGAAGUAACCCAGGCGCAUUAUUCCCCCAAGGGGAUCAGCCCUCCAGCGGGCCGUAAGUAAAAAGAAGGGGUCUUGUAAAUAAGGAACAUCCCUGUAUUUAUUCAUGAAGAUAACCGAAAUUGUACCUUGUAGUUCGGACCUCAGCCCUUCUCAGCAGAGCUCGUCUUCGCGGGAUCUUCUUCCGGAGAUGAUGGAGAGCGAAACGCCUCCACUUGUCGCACCCUCAUGUGAAGCGGACGACCCGGAGGUGUCGUCGCGGAGGGUUCCCCCAAGUCCGGCGGGGCCGGAAGGUCCGGCGCCAAGUGGUGUGCGGUCGGAGGAGCUGAAGGAUCUGCUCGGGCGAGCGUCUAUUUCAGAGGAUCACCGUGCUCUAAUGGGUGUGGUGAUUGAAAGAAUUGCAUCCGCGGAGAGCGGAUUGCAUGAAGCCGUCAGAAGCUUACUGACGGGGUUUGAGGUACGCAAAAAUGAUGUACCUUUUGACAGUUAUGCACAUAAAAUGCGCCCUGUAUAGAUAGUAGCCCCUGAGACUCGGUAUGUUGUCAAAAUUGACAACGUGCCGAGGAUCAAAUUCUCAGUUAUAACAUAUCGCUGCUCCUAAACAGGUGGCGGGGCGUCCGAAGGCCAGCCGGACUGAUGAAUAUGCCGAGCUAAAGCGGCGACUUGACGAGGCGGAUGCGGACAUCGCACUGGUCAAUAAACGGUUUGACGAGUCACAAGGUAUGCGACUUCUAUGCGGACACCUGGUGAGGGGGCCUGACGCCCAUGUCUUAUUAUUCGUAUGCUUAAUGUGGAUGGUGCUGCUACCGUGGAGGAGCUGCGGGCGGAACUCGCCCGAGCAAAAGAGCAAGCCCGGGUCUGUAAUGCGGCUGCUUUAAAGGCAGCCGAAGAGCUAGAAGCCGAACGGGCUGCUCACUGCCGAAGCAAAGAGGAAAUGGCCGAUAUGGCCAAAAAGUUAAGGAAUACUACCGAUCGCUACGAGGUUCUUGAAAAAGAACGUCAAGCGGAACAAGAGGGCCUAAAAAGGCCGCCGCCGAAUCCAAGAAUGCCCAAGCGGCUUUGAGAGCUGCCAAGGAGGAGCUGAGUCAGGCCGGGGCAAUUGCGGCUGGAAAACCGUUUCUGCUGCAGAGAAAAUACACAGAUCCAAAGUAUGCUCAAUUGGAUAAGUUGUGGAGUUCGGAGGAUUCUUAUCUGGACGCGGCGAGCGCUGCGGACGCGGUUGAGCACUUCCGGGGCCAGAAGGGGCACAGAAGGGAAGAGCUAUAUUGGUCUCAAUUCCAUAGUCCGGAGCGUCCUCUGUCGCUGACCGAUCAGUUGGCCGAAUGGGCCGAGCUGAAUCGGUUGUCCGGCUUUGCCAUGAAGCAUGUCCUGACUCACUUGUGGCCGGGCGAACCCCAGCCGAAGAGCUAUUUUGGUUUAGUGCAGCAGUUCCUUGGUGCGGUACCGCGUAUCGACGAAAUAAAGCAAUCAACGUGUAUUGAGGGAGCGCGGAUGGCUCUUGCCCGUGUCAAGACAUACUGGGCAGAGAUGAAGGCCACCGAUGUUGCAUCCCAAGACUCGGACAGAAGCCGAGUACCUGCCGAGCACUACUUUGAAGAAGUCCUACCGGGCGCUCGUUUAAUAGAGACGCAGUGCUCGAAGGAUAUUAUGUUUUAGAUGACAUGUAUGAUUUGUGAAAAUGAUGUUUCAAUAUAAUAUAAGAGCUUUUUAUACUUGUGCGGUCAAGUAGUAAACUACUCCCUGUGCGGCCGUUUAUGUAUAUUUGUAUAUAACCUGAAAGAUGGCAGUCCUUGGCUUCAGCCCCCACGCACAUAGUGCGGGGGUGUUUGCAAAGAAAGCGUUUUUUCACACUUAAUCCAACGUCUUGGUCCUAUUAAGGAGGUGAUAGUGUAGCAAACCAGGCAACCGAACUAUAAUGCUUUAUCACUUUCACUUAGCCAUAGGAGUUCGAGGGUGGGGCUACGAUAUAGCCCCUGGGGGCACCGCACUCUCCCGAAUUCGGGGUGCGUAUGUGCCUGACAGAAAACCGGUCCUUCGUUAAUGCGGAGGAAUCCUAAACAUUCCUGUGAGUCAUCGAGUGGUUGACCAGUCUCUCGCUAUAUCAUGACAGUCAGUUUUUGGCUUUCUCUACUGAGGUGCUCGCCCGGCCGAACCGGGGCACAAUCGUAGUAGUUCUCCUGGUGUCGCGUUAGCCGUGAAAACGGAACGUAAGGCAGCAAAACACAGGAGCCGGGCAACCCAACAUUUGACCAAAGACAUGAUUCGGAGCUGAUGCAUAUAAGGCCUAACUCGAGACGCCGAAUACUCCCUAAGGUAUUCGGUCUUUAUGAAAAUGGGCAGAAUAAUGCCCUAAGCCCCUGAUGUCCAGGUACGCGCAAAAAUUCUGGUGCGGUCAAUGCCAAAACGCCAGCCUCCUCCUCGGUUAUAAUAAGGAACCGGGGGAUGUAUAUCAACAAGAGACAGUAAAAAAGGUUUACGUAGGGUCUUAAUCUGAAAAGAAUCCUUGCAACGGGUCCCUACUGCACGUCUGCGCAUGUGUCUCUGUUGUGCCGUAUCCUGGACGGGUGUAGCACGUUGUUCAUCAGUAAAAGAGAGGAACUUAGUUUAAAAGAAAAAAAGAUUCGUGCAAAAGAUGUACUUAAUAUUAAAUAAACAGAGUAUGGUUCGAAGAAAAAGUUGAGCUUUAUUGUCUCUUGUUACACAUGCAUGUAGCCCCUCGUAUGGGGGUGUGCCGCUAGUAGGCACCGAACUCGUCUAGCCGUGUCCGAGUUUUGGAUGACCAAUUCAGGUUCUUUGCCUAGCAGAGCCGGAUAGCUUUGGGGCUGUCAAGGCAGUCUCCCGUUCUUCCGUGCUCGAGUAACACUUAAUACUUCCUUUUAGCGAGAUGAUGCCGCAUGGACCGGACAUUUUAAGUGUUAGAGAUGCAUAAUGUGGUAUUGUGUUAAAGCGGGCGAAAGCUUCGCGUCCCAAUAGUGCUUGAUGGCUACUUUUAAACGGGGCGAUAUGGAAGAGUAACCUUUCGGGACGGAAGUUGUCGGAUGAACCGAACACAACUUCUAGCAGGAUGGAGCCCGUACAAUGGGCAUAUGGUCCUGGCAUUACUCCUUUAAAGGAGGUGUUGCUACGACGGAUUUUGGUUGGGUUUAUCCCCAUCCUGCGGAUUGUAUCCUGAUAUAUCAGGUUUAUGUCACUGCCGCCAUCCAUGAGGACUCGCGUAAAUUGGAAUCCAUCGAUUAUAGGAUCCGAUAUCAGGGCAGUCCAUCCUGCGUUCCAGAUAUUUUCGGAAUAGUCAUGAUGGUCGAAGGUGAUUGGUUUUGACAACCAGUGUGCGGCGUGCCUUUUAGUGGGUGCCGCUCUGUUUUCCCUUUGAUCACGUGAAGUGAGUUUACUAUUUUAACCUCUUGUGGGAAAGUCUUUUGUUUUCCGGGGCUCUGCUUGUGGUGCUCGUCGUCAUCUUCACUUGGUGUGUCGAGCCCCUUGUGUUCGGCGUUCAGUCUGCCGGACUGUUUGAAGGCCCAACAAUUUCGGUGGGUAUGGUUAGCAGGCCUCCCAGGAGUACUGUGGAUUUGACAUAUCUUGUCCAGGAUUUUGUUGAAGUUGGAUAGCUCAUCGCUAUUGUCCUUAAGGGGCAGUUUUUUGUUGUUCUGCCGUGAGCUUUUGAAUCCGGCGUUGACUGCCGUGCUCUUUGGACUGUUCCUUUUAAUCCGGCGCUGGUCCUUGUUGCGCCGUGGUUUCCCAUUUCCAUCCCUGAUUUCGGAUGUACUUGGGUCGCUGGUGCUGCAUCUUGCUAGCCAGCUAUCCUCUCCCGCGCAAAAGCGGGUCAUGAGGCUUGUUAGUGCGGCCAUUGUUCUUGGCUUUUCUUGGCCGAGGUGUCUGGCGAGUCAUUCGUCUCGGACGUUGUGUUUGAAAGCUGCUAAGGCUUCGGCGUCCGGACAGUCGACUAUUUGGUUCUUUUUAGUAAGGAACCUGUUCUAGAAUUUCCGGGCUGACUCUCCGGACUGUUGAGUUAUGUGACUUAGAUCGUCUGCAUCCGGAGGGCGGACAUAAGUCCCCUGAAAAUUUGCCCGAAAUGCAUCCUCGAGCUCUUCCCAGCUUCCAAUGGUAUUUUCGGGGAGGCUCUUAAGCCAAUGCCGAGCUGGCCCUUUGAGUUUAAGGGGUAAGUAUUUUAUGGCGUGGUGAUCAUCUCCUCUAGCCAUGUGUAUGUGGAGGAUGUAAUCUUCAAUCCAGACUCCAGGGUCUGUUGUUCCGUCGUAUGCCUCUAUGUCUACGGGUUUGAAUCCCGCUGGAAAUUCAUGAUCCAGCACCUCAUCGAUGAAACAUAGGGGGUGUGCGGCGCCCCUAUAUUUGGGUGUGCCGUGAUCUUCGGAAUUUUGGCGUAUUGCAUUGCUAUGACGAGCAUGCUUUCUUGGCCCAUAGAUGGACCUAACUGGGCCAUCCUUUUGAUGUGAAUCCUUAUGCGGAUCACAUAUUGGCUUGUGUGCGGCACCAUUCGCCGCUCUCUUUUUGCCGUGAGGUCGUCCAUCCGACCGGGUGGCCUUCUUGCUUUUUAAUUGUGGGGGCUCUAAGGCCUCCACGUCAAAUUCGGGCAGUAGCUUUCUUUUCGGGUAGCUCUUUGUUCGGCGACUGUCGCCGUACUUGUCUGCGGUGCUGAAUACUUUGCUCCAUCUGAUCCUGAGUGCAUCUUCCGCUGUUUUGAGCUUCCGCUUCUUCUUUUUCAGGCUACGCGCAGUGGCGACGAGCCAUUUCUGGAGGUCGUUUUGCUCCAAUAGUUUGUCCGGCGUCAGAUCGUCCGGACUGUUGUCUUCGCCGGGGACAGAUUGUUUAUCCAAGUUGUCUUGUUCGGACGAUUGCUCAAUAGCUUGUUCGUUGUCCACCGGUUCGCCCUGCUCUAUGGCUGGGUCUUUAUUGAGGCGGGACUUUGUUCGGCGUUUACGCUGCCGUUUUGACUGCUUUUCGAGGUAUUUAUCCUUCGUAGCGUCCCGUUGUUCCUCGUCUUCAUUUCCUUUAGGUGUAUCCACCAUGUAUACAUCAUGAGAUGAGGUGGCUGUCCAGCAUCCUAGAGGUGCUGGCUCAUUGUUGUCUCCUACAUCAUCGUCCAUACCGUCGAUGUCUUCGGAGUCGAAGUCGAGCACGUCAUGUAAGCUUUUGACAGUGGCUACGAAGUGGGUGGUGGGUGGGCGUUGAAUUUUUUCGUCGUCCGCAUCCCAACCUCCUGACCGUAGUCCGGCCAGGGCUCUCCGGAUAAAGAGAGAGACUUUAGUGAAUUCAGGAUGUUGCCAAAGGGCGAGUGCUGAAAGAUGUCCGCGGCCGUGAACUCCAUGACCGGCGCCCAAUCGGGUUCGAUUGGCAGGGGCGCGGAGGGUUCAGAGUCCGGAGAGGAGUCCGGCACCCUGAAGUCAAGGUCUUCGCAAAGGACAGGGAUGGAGUUCGGAUCGAUCGCAGUAGAGAUUGUAGCCCCCGAGGCGGUGUCCAACCACUCAUCCUCGAUCGGGGAAUCCGGCUCCGGAUUAAGGGUCGGAGCGGAUACUGGUGCGGCCUCCAAGGCACUGUUCGGUUGCAGAGCUAGAUCAUGCCCGUCGAGACAGUGCGGCACGCUUGGCUGCGGCUCGAAUCCGUCGAAGAUCAAGUCUCCGCGGAUAUCAGCCGUAUAGUUCAAACUUCCAAAUCUGACCUGAUGGCCAGGGGCGUAGCUUUCGAUCUGCUCCAGAUGGCCAAGCGAAUUGGCCCGCAGUGCAAAGCCGCCGAACAUGAAGAUCUGUCCGGGGAGAAAAGUCUCACCCUAGACCGCGUCGUUGUUGAUGAUCGAAGGAGCCAUCGGGCCUAUCGGUGACGACACAGAGGAACUCUCAAUGAAAGCACCAAUGUCGGUGUCAAAACCGACGGAUCUCGGGUAGGGGGUCCCGAACUGUGCGUCUAGGCGGAUGGUAACAGGAGACAAGGGACACAAUGUUUUUACCCAGGUUCGGGCCCUCUCGAUGGAGGUAAUACCCUACUCCUGCUUGAUUAAUAUUGAUGAUAUGGGUAGUACAAGAGUAGAUCUACCACGAGAUCAAGGAGGCUAAACCCUAGAAGCUAGCCUAUGGUAUGAUUGUUGUUCUGUUCUACGGACUAAAACCCUCCGGUUUAUAUAGACACCGAAUAGGUUAGGGUUAAACAAAGUCGGUUACAAUGGUAGGAGAUCUACAUAUCCGUAUCGCCAAGCUUGCCUUCCACACCAAGGAAAGUCCCAUCCGGACACGGGACGAAGUCUUCAAUCUUGUAUCUUCAUAGUCUUGGAGUCCGGCCGUGACGAUAGUCCGGCUACCCGGACACCCCCUAGUCCGGGACUCCCUCAGUAAGCCAGGGAAGUAAGUUGAUCAAUCCCUGGUGAACACCGGGGCGGUGUUGGGUAAAUGCAUGGGACGUGACAGUGAGUCUUGUAGUGAGUUUGUGGCGACACCUAGUUACAAGGGUCCUGGUCUGAACAAGAAGGCAUGAGGUGAGGGUAAUGGAGGUGGCAUGAGCAACAUAGGUGUGUUAGGCGGUAAGGACGCUAUCGGCCCAUUGGUUGCCGAUGAAUGACAUGUGAUAAGGAAGGCACCUAUCAGGAGAAAUGAGUCGCCUGAUUUAGAAUUGUUGGGGCCUCGGGCAGUCUCGGAUAUUUGAAGAGCUAGUUUGCCUCGUGCACGCGUAUACCACUUGAUGAUCGUUUUACAUUCUGAAACUCAGCAAUGUGAAAGGAGUUUCAAUAAUCUUAGGUGGAUGCUAGGCCGCUAGAAUUGUAUUGUGCAUGAUGGUAAGGGCAAGGGUGUGUUGCGUUGUUGUGAGAUAAAUGAACUAAAAUAAAAAGAUUGCCAUAUACCUGACGUACAUCAAUGUCUUAAUUCAUGAUGAUUCCCAUGGACCAAAGGGAAAGAGUACCGUCGCCGAAGGGAACUACUAAAAUCCCUGGCCGAUGACUGCACUAAGCUGAGAGUGCUGCAAUAGGAUGUUUGGUCCUGGACAUUAAAGAUUUUGGCUCCAUGAUAAGCAGUACUCACUGGAUGAGAAGGAAUAUUGUAGUCACAUACUGAAUGCACCAUCUUAUUGGUUGCGGAUGGUCGGGAAAGCAUCUUAAGAAAGCAGGUCUUGGAAGGGUGGUUAAUGCCUAUCAAAAUUGUUGGGGGAGCCUCGGUGUCUCUAAACUAAUGUUUGUUGAUGACAGCCUUUUGUUCUUCAAGGCCGUAGGAAGAGAGGUGAGGGUAGUGAAGGACACUCCAAAUCUAUUUCAAAGGCGUACAUGAUAGCUUCUUAGCCCGGCUAAAUGCUCUUUAUUACUUAGUGAACAUUGCUCGCCCCAUGUCCAGUAAGAGAUAAAGGUCACCCUUGGUGUUGUGGCUUCCACUUUUGAGAGUAAAUAUUUGGAUUUACCAACCCCAGAAGGUAGGAUGUUUUCCUCGAAUUUUAGUCGAUCAUGGAAAGGUUCACAAAAAUGUGCAAGGACUGGAUUGAAAAGUAUAUGACCCAUGCAGCUAAAGUGGUCUUGAUUAAGUAAGUGGUUCAAGCGCUUCCCAAUUACUUCUUUGGAUUGUUCAAAUGUCCUUGGGCUUUUGUGAUAAGUAUGAAAAUUUUAUCUGGGACUUUAGGUGGGGCGAUGAGUAAGGACAUCACAAGGCCAUUUGGCUCUCCUGAUACCAAAUUAUAAAACAAAAGAGAGGAGGUGUUCUAGGAUUCUGGGAUAUGCAUAUGUUUAACCAAGCUCUCCUGGCAAGGCAAGGCUGGAGACUGGUUCACAAGCCGGAUAGUUUAUGUUCCAGAGUCUUGAAAUCAGAAUAUUAUCCUUGUGGGAUAUUCUGGACAUGGUCAUUUCCUCGUAUGCAUCCCCGGCUUGGAGUUAAGAUACUCAAGGAAGGCAUCAUCUGGCGUAUAGUGAAUGGACGAAAAAUUCAGAUUCAGAGAGACAACUGGAUUCUGAGACAGUAUGGCCUCAGGUUGCCAAAUUCGCUAGAAACUCAAGGUUGAGGUGGGUUAACCAGUUGAUUGUCUCGAUAAAAAAUGAAUGGAACAUUAACCUUGUCCAUAGGCUAUUUUCUGAUUUUGAUGUAGAGGAGAUAUUUCGCAUAAAUCACCCUUCUAUGUAAUGGAUGACGUGCUUAUAAACUUGCCACCAACUCAAAUUCAGGUACAAAUCCCCUGCUUCUAGCUCAUCAAGUGCGACAUAUAAUUGGAGUAUUUGGGAUGUGAUUUGGAGAGAUAAGGUUCCAGAGAAGGUUAAGGUCUUUGGCUGGAGGUUGCUACUGGCUCACUGGCUACACAAUUGUGUAAAUUUAUAAAGGCGCUGAGUGUAACACCAUUUGUGCUAUUUCUGGUAACAAUGUGGAUCACAAUUCCAAUCUCCACAGUGGCUUUGGGAUGUUGGCUAGUGUCCCAUCAAUACUUCUUUUUUGAGGGAAUUGGUGUCCCAUCAAUACUUAAUGCCCCCAUGUCUAAUGAUUGCAAUCAGUCCAUGGUAAUAUACAAGUCUAGUGGUUUCCCUCAAUUAAGUAAAAUAAACACAACUCGAAGAUCAACUAAUUUUUACCUUAAUUUUUCUAGAAAAAAUAGGGCGAGUUCUUCCCUUACCUUCUUCAAUGUUGAUAGCGGAGGGCGAAGUGGAGGCAACAACUAACUUCUCCGAUGCCAGUCGUGGCAAGACGUGGCCAUCGGAGAUAGUAUGCCGCUUUCCUCCAUCGCCAAUCAUCAUGUUGGCUCCAGAUCUGGAAAAAAUGGUUGGUCGCCCACACCUAGGACUCCAGAUCUAGAUGUAGUUGGUUGCCCAACUGCGGCGACUCCAAAUCUGGAUGCGGUUGGUCGCCCACACCUAGGACUCCAGAUAUGGAUGGAAACACAGUAGGAGCCUACGCGGUUUGUCUCAACGCAUCAUCCACCGCUCAAUCGUGGGCGGUUCAAGCGCAGUCUCGGCGUGGAUGUCAAGGGGAAGGGGGAACGUGUGUGACGAGAGAGAGAGCGAGGGGAGGGAGAGAGAGAAAGCGAGGACAGGAGGAGACUAGCGUGUGGGUUUGUUCGUUAUAGAAAAGCUUUACCUAUAGAUUAUUAUGUGAGCCUGCAUACCACAACAAGACCUCCCGUCCUCACGUUUAAAUUGCCCCGCCCUCUCCCACGUGGUGGGCCCACUUCUCACCCUACCGCUCCCAAAAAAGCGUGUAGGACGAGAGUUGUGCGUGUUGGUCAGUUUGCUCGCUGGAGCGAGCAAACGCCAGGGAGUCAAUAUGAGGUGCUCCCAGCAAGGAGACGAAAGACACCAUGCAACAUGCUCCGACCGACCAUGAUUCCUGCAUACAAAUAGUGAACCAUCGGAAGCAAUGACCUUACCUCACUGACCAGACACCCGCGGCUCCACUCCCACACACAUGAUGUCAGCGUGAGGUACUCAAUGUUCUCCUAGAAUUCUUGUAGCUGUUCGCCCAUAUUUUUAUUCAUGUUUCUCCCUGUCAACCAAGACCCCUCUACUGAAUUUCCCUUUGACUUGAGAAUGACGGCAGAGACGGAGCGCUUCAGAACGGGCCCUAACACCGGAACAUGCAACCACCGUGAUGUGGAGCACGCACGAGAAGAGAUCCACAGGAAUGGGGAUUAGCAACAUUAAGUAAUGUUUUAUACAAGGGUCCUGGUCUAAGUAAUCUGUGUUUAGCAACAUUAAGCUACAAAGUCGUUGUAGUAUAGUGGUAAGUAUUCCCGCCUGUCACGCGGGUGACCCGGGUUCGAUCCCCGGCAACGGCGCAUUUUUUUGUUUGGUUUGCCGGCCCACGACAGGCCACGCCGAUCCACUGCGUCCGAUGGAAGCUCCUGUUUUUUUUUAGGGUAAGCUACGUGCUGAAAAACAAAAUGUAAAGAAAAAAUAUAAUUUUCAUUGAGGGAGAACUGGGAAUCGAACUCACGAGGACCACGUGACUGAAAUAACCUAACCACUGCACCACCGUCAGUUACUUGCUAGCUUUCGUAAAACAGCCCUCUUUGACCUUUACUUCAGUAUAAACAUUAAACGUAUAUACUACUCCCUCCGUCCCAAAGUAAGUGUGUCAACUUUGUACUAGCUCUAGUACAAAUUUGUACUAAGCUCAAGACACUUUUUUUGAGACGGAGGGAGUAUUAUAUACCCACUAUAAAUUAUAUUUGAAUAAAGAAAAUAUAAACGUGAAAACGCAUUCACAUAAAACAUGAAUUCAAAAGAAAUGUUCACAAAAAUAGAAAAAAGAUUGUGAAUUUGGAAAAAAAUCAUCAAAUCUUAAAAAAAAGUUCAUCAAAUUUGAAAAAAGUUCACAAAAAUGAAGAGAGUUCACCUAAAUUGAAAAAGUUCAUUGAAUUUCAAAAAAAGAUCAUCAAAUUUGAAAAAAAGUUCAUCGUAUUUGAAAGAAGUUUAUUGAAUUUGAAAAAAAAUUCACCGAAAUUGAAAUAGUUCAUCGAAAUUGAGAAAAGUUCAUCGGAUUUGAGUAAAGUUCAUCGUAUUUGAAAAAAAGUUCACCGAAAUUUAAAAAAGUGCAUCGAUAUUGAGAAAAGUUCAUCAAAUUUGAAAAAUAGUUCAUGAAUUUAUAAAGACUUCAUAAAUUUAGAAAAAGGUACACGAAAUUUAUAAAACGGUGCAUUAAAGAAAACAAAAAAGAAUGAGAAAAAAAGAAAAAGUAUAAACCAAACUGAAUAAGGAAUAUAAGAAGAGAAACAAACUUUUUGUCCACUAGCGUGGUGAUGGCGUGGUGGUUAGUGCGUAGCGGUAGGAUCAGAGAGGUUGAGGGGUCGAACUCUUCCACGCGAGCACUUUUUGCCGUUUUCGAAAGUAUCCCGUUCGCUCUAGAGCCCUGCCAACACAUUUUGUGUCGGGCUACAAAUUUGUUGUUGCAAGGGCAAAGCAUGCGCGUGCUUAAGGACUACUAGAAUCUAGUCAUUGCCCAAAUGCUUAUAAUGAUACCGCUGAUUUUGAUAAAAGAAACACUUUGCUUUUGGUCUGUGCGUGCUACUUUUGGUUUGUUGGUUUUCCGGCUAUAUUUGCUAGCUCAAAUUUAGAUAAACCAGCUUUACAUUUGUAGACCAAAUGAGUUCGUGUUAUAUGUUAUAUAUGCGUUCAUAUUGGUCUUUUUCUCCAAUUGAGCCGGCAGAAGUUGCCUGAUUUUUGGAUUUGGCUCAGUUGAUUUAAUUGGGAAGGAAGAAGGAAGCGCAACGGGGCAUGGUGUCCGCCUUUGGUGGCAACGGGGCAUGGUGUCCGCCUUUGGUGGCACCGGGGCAAGACGUCGGCAAGGCCUCAGCUAGGAACGAGCCGUAGCCGCCGGAGGCUAGUUCAAAGGUUAAUGGUUCGGGCUGCGGGCUCGCAGAGAAAUUCUAGUGGUUUCUCUGUUUAGAGGGAUGGCCAGGGUGGCAGCAACACGAUGGUGAGGAGAAAGGGGUGGCGGAGGCAGGCGGUUCAGCCGAUAGUCAUGGACAGGUUGAGGAAGAAGGUGAAUAGGGGAGGACAGUAGGUGGAAGAAGGCCAUCUGGUCAUUGGUUGUUCAUCGGGCGUUUCAAAAAAAUCAAUCCAUCCAAAUCCUUUUUUAAUCGCCCGCCCUCUAGCAAUCCACUUUUUCCUCAUGGGUAACUGUGUCAAGAUGAUGUUUAGACCCCAAUAAGGGUUGGACUAUAUAUUUGUUUGUUUUGUUCUUCGAGUUGCAUAUAUAGAACAGAAAUAGAAUUUAAGCUAUUCUCGUCUUCACUAGAAUCAUUUAUCCAUCCAGAUCUAUGCUCAUGCAUUGUUGUUAAUGUACUUACAUUCUUCUAUCUGCAUGGGCCAUUGUCUAACAUCUCAACUCUUGGUUCCAUCAUCCCUAGUAUCAAUGAUCAUUGUCGAGACUAUACACACCAUUUUCUCGUUGGUCCUUUCUCAUUUCAUUCACCGGAGCGGCUGUAGCCCUCCGUGUAGGGUCGGCGGCACGAGGAGGGGUUGUCGGUGUCGUUCCUGAUGUUAGAGUCUUCGGACAGGGAUUGAUUGUUCGCUUUUUGGCGUUUUCGAAAAGUAUCCCGUUCGCUCUAGAGCCCUGCCAACACAUUUUGUGUCGGGCUACAAAUUUGUUGUUGCAAGGGCAAAGCAUGCGCGUGCUUAAGGACUACUAGAAUCUAGUCAUUGCCCAAAUACUUAUAAUGAUACCGCUGAUUUUGAUAAAAGAAACACUUUGCUUUUGGUCUGUGCGUGCUACUUUUGGUUUGUUGGUUUUCCAGCUAUAUUUGCUAGCUCAAAUUUAGAUAAACCAGCUUUACAUUUGUAGACCAAAUGAGUUCGUGUUAUAUGUUAUAUAUGCGUUCAUAUUGGUCUUUUUCUCCAAUUGAGCCGGCAGAAGUUGCCUGAUUUUUGGAUUUGGCUCAGUUGAUUUAAUUGGGAAGGAAGAAGGAAGCGCAACGGGGCAUGGUGUCCGCCUUUGGUGGCAACGGGGCAUGGUGUCCGCCUUUGGUGGCACUGGGGCAAGACGUCGGCAAGGCCUCGGCUAGGAACGAGCCGUAGCCGCCGGAGGCUAGUUCAAAGGUUAAUGGUUUGGACUGCGGGCUCGCAGAGAAAUUCUAGUGGUUUCUCUGUUUAGAGGGAUGGCCAGGGUGGCAGCAACACGAUGGUGAGGAGAAAGGGGUGGCGGAGGCAGGCGGUUUAGCCGAUAGUCAUGGACAGGUUGAGGAAGAACGUGAAUAGGGGAGGACAGUAGGUGGAAGAAGGCCAUCUGGUCAUUGGUUGUUCAUCGGGCGUUUCAAAAAAAUCAAUCCAUCCAAAUCCUUUUUUAAUCGCCCGCCCUCUAGCAAUCCACUUUUUCCUCAUGGGUAACUGUGUCAAGAUGAAUCAAUCCAUCCAAAUCCUUUUUUAAUCGCCCGCCCUCUAGCAAUCCACUUUUUCCUCAUGGGUAACUGUGUCAAGAUGAUGUUUAGACCCCAAUAAGGGUUGGACUAUAUAUUUGUUUGUUUUGUUCUUCGAGUUGCAUAUAUAGAACAGAAAUAGAAUUUAAGCUAUUCUCGUCUUCACUAGAAUCAUUUAUCCAUCCAGAUCUAUGCUCAUGCAUUGUUGUUAAUGUACUUACAUUCUUCUAUCUGCAUGGGCCAUUGUCUAACAUCUCAACUCUUGGUUCCAUCAUCCCUAGUAUCAAUGAUCAUUGUCGAGACUAUACACACCAUUUUCUCGUUGGUCCUUUCUCAUUUCAUUCACCGGAGCGGCUGUAGCCCUCCGUGUAGGGUCGGCGGCACGAGGAGGGGUUGUCGGUGUCGUUCCUGAUGUUAGAGUCUUCGGACGGGGAUUGAUUGUUCACGUGUUAUGAAAUUGGUCCUAAUUUGAUAGGUAUUUAAGAGGGAUAUUUUUUUUAGAACGAGGGCUCAAGAAGAGCCCGGCUUUGAAUUAACAAAGUCAUCAACUGGCCAGGAUUACAAACUCGAAACCAACACAAGAAAGAUAAGAAAAUGGCAAUAUACAAAGGCUCUGGAAAGCAGCCCACAAAGCCUCAUACACACCAAGCUAAAAAGAUCGAUAGGGAGAAACACAGCUUGAAGAUGAAGAGGUCCUCCACGCGACCAGAACGCCAUGGAAGAAGAAGAAUGCCCACACUGGAUCAACAUGUCCAACGACAAAGAAGGGCAUGCCGUCGCCUAAUCAUCAACAGCCCCGACCCUACACAUCCGCCCAGCUCCAAUGUCAAAGAAGGCCCCUGCCUCCUCUCCUGGCUCGAAAGGCGCCGCACCAUUGACAAGAGGAGCAGUUCACCCUAGAACCUGGGAGAUAGUCGCCGGCAGGCUACAUCUAAAAAGAAAACAAACUCACCCAACAAGUCACGAACACAUCACCAAGAGCAUAGCACCGCCGAAUCCCACGGACUAGUCACAAAAAGGAAGAGUUGCCGGAACGGAUAAAGAUGAGCAACAACUAGAUCUCUUUGGAAGACAUUGAGAACCGAAGUGCAGGUACCGAAAGAGGGGCUAAUACUCGUAUGGUGCACUGAGAAGGGUCGUCAAAUGAGGGGAACCCGAUCCCCUCACGCCCAGGAGAAUCCACAGGCCAGACAGAGCACCCCACAGUAGACCGGAGAGCUCCCAAAAUGAAGGAGUCAUUUAGGAAGUCGAGGUCAUCGAGGGAGAUCAGCUACAGCCGCCGCUACACACGAAACACAUCUCUGAGAAACCCCACGCCCGCCUUGCUCCCAAAACCGGCGCCUUCAGGAAGGACGUGACACCAAGGGCGCCGCCGCCGCCCAACAGUGUUGGGGAUUUCUCCCGGGAGGCAAGGAGGGGAAGGGGGCAGAGGAACAGACCCAAGCGGCACCUCCAAGGAGGGGAACGGUGUUGGGGAACGUUGCGUGGGAAACAAAAAAAUUCCUACGCUCACCAAGAUCAAUCUAGGAGAUGAACAUCUACGAGAGAAGAGAUUGCAUCUACAUACCCUUGUAGAUCGCUAAGCGGAAGCGUUAAGAAACGCGGUUGAUGUAGUCGAACGUCUGAUGUCUACUAGACAACCUUUUUCUUGUAGACGUUGUUGGGCCUCCAAGUGAAGAGGUUUGUAGGACAGUAGCAAAUUUCCCUCAAGUGGAUGACCUAAGGUUUAUCAAUCUGUGGGAGGCAUAGGAUGAAGAUAGUCUCUCUCUCAAACAACCCUGCAACCAAAUAACAAAGAGUCUCUUGUGUCCCCAACACACGCAAUACAAUGGUAAAUUGUAUAGGUGCACUAGUUCGGCGAAGAGAUGGUGAUACAAGUGCAAUAUGGAUGGUAGAUAUGAGUAUUUGUAAUCUGAAAAUAUAAAAAAGCAAGGUAACAAGUGGCAAAAGUGAGCGUAAACGGUAUUGCAAUGCUAGGAAACAAGGCCUAGGGUUCAUACUUUCACUAGUGCAAGUUCUCUCAACAAUAAUAACAUAACUGGAUCAUAUAACUAUCCCUCAACAUGCAACAAAGAGUCACUCCAAAGUCACUAGUAGCGGAGAACAAACAAAGAGAUUAUUGUAGGGUAUGAAACCACCUCAAAGUUAUCCUUUCUGAUCGAUCUAUUCAAGAGUCCGUAGUAAAAUAACACGAAGCUAUUCUUUCCGUUCGAUCUAUCAUAGAGUUCGUACUAGAAUAACACCUUAAGACACAAAUCAACUAAAACCCUAAUGUCACCUAGAUACUCCAAUGUCACCUCAAGUAUCCGUGGGCAUGAUUAUACGAUAUGCAUCACACAAUCUCAGAUUCAUCUAUUUAACAAACACAAAGUACUUCAAAGAGUGCCCCAAAGUUUCUACCGGAGAGUCAAGACGAAAACGUGUGCCAACCCCUAUGCAUAAGUUCAUUGAACCCGCAAGUUGAUCACCAAAACAUACAUCAAGUAGAUCACAUGAAUAUCCCAUUGUCAACAUAGAUAAGCACGACAAGACAUACAUCAAGUGUUCUCAAAUCCUUAAAGACUCAAUCCGACAAGACAACUUUGAUAACCCAUAAGUAUAGGGGAUCGCAACGGUUUUCGAGGGUAUAGUAUUCAAUCCAAAUUUAUUGAUUCGACACAAGGGGAGCCAAAGAAUAUUCUCAAGUAUUAGCAGUUGAGUUGUCAAUUCAACCACACCUGGAUAACUUAAUAUCUUCAGCAAAGUAUUUAGUAGCAAAGAAGUAUGGAAGUAACAGUAACAGUAGCAAAAGUAACAGUAGCAGUUUUAUAGUAAUUGUAACAGUAGCAACGGUAAAGUAAAUAAGCAAAGAACAAUAUGUGAAAAGCUCGUAGGCAUUGGAUCUGUGAUGGAUAAUUAUGUCGGAUGCGAUUCCUCAUGUAAUAGUUAUAACAUAGGGUGACACAGAACUAGCUCCAGUUCAUCAAUGUAAUGUAGGCAUGUAUUCCGAAUAUAGUCAUACGUGCUUAUGGAAAAGAACUUGCAUGACAUCUUUUGUCCUACCCUCCCGUGGCAGCGGGUCCUAAUGGAAACUAAGGGAUAUUAAGGCCUCCUUUUAAUAGAGUACCAGACCAAAGCAUUAAUUAGCACAUAGUGAAUACAUGAACUCCUCAAACUACGGUCAUCACCGAGAAGUAUCCCGAUUAUUGUCACUUCAGGGUUGUCGGAUCAUAACACAUAAUAGGUGAAUAUAGACUUGCAAGAUAGGAUCAAAAACUCACAUAUAUUCAUGAAAACGUAAUAGGUUCAGAUCUGAAAUCAUGGCACUCGGGCCCUAGUGACAAGCAUUAAGCAUAGCAAAGUCGUAGCAACAUCAACCUCAGAACAUAGUGGAUACUAGGGAUCAAACCCUAACAAAACUAACUUGAUUACAUGGUAAAUCUCAUCCAACUCAUCACCGUCCAGCAAGCCUAUGAUGCAAUUACUCACGCACGGCGGUGAGCAUCAUGAAAUUGGUGAUGGAGGAUGGCUUAUGAUGAUGACGGCGACGAAUCCCCCUCUCCGGAGCCCCAAACGGACUCCAGAUCAGCCCUCUCGAGAGAGAUUAGGGCUUGGCGGCGGCUCCGUAUCGUAAAACGCGAUGAAACUUUCUCUCUGAUUUUUUUCUCCACGAAAGCAAAUAUAUGGAGUUGGAGUUGAGGUCGGUGGACGUCCAGGGGGCCCACGAGGCAGGGGGGCACGCCCCCCACCCUCGUGGACAGGGUGUGGGGCCCCUGACGUUGAUUCUUUAUUUUUUAUUAAUUCUGAAAAGUUGCUCUGUGGAUUUUCAUGUCAUUCCGAGAAUUUUUAUUUCUGCACAAAAAUAACACCACGGCAGUUCUGCUGGAAACAGCAUCAGUCCGGGUUAGUUCCAUUCAAAUCAUGCAAGUUAGAGUCCAAAACAAGGGCAAAAGUGUUUGGAAAAGUAGAUACGACGGAGACGUAUCAAACUUCAAGGGGAAAACUCAAUUCAUCACAAGAGAGUAGAGGAGGAGAAACAUCAUAAGAUCCAACUAUAAUAGCAAAGCUCGCGAUACAUCAAGAUCGUAUCACCUCAAGAACACGAGAGAGAGAGAUAGAUCAAACACAUAGCUACUGGUACAUACCCUCAGCCCCGAGGGUGAACUAGUCCCUCCUCGUCAUGGAGAGCGCCGGGAUGAUGAAGAUGGCCACCAGUGAGGGAUCCCCCCUUCGGUAGGGUGCCGGAACAGGGUACCGAUUGGUUUUUGGUGGCUACAGAGGCUUGCGGCGGCGGAACUUCCGAUCUAUUAUGCUCCUCGAUGUUUUUAGGGUAUAUGGACAUAUAUAGGCGAAAGGAGUCGGUCAAGGGAGCCACGAGGGGCCCACGAGGGUGGGGCACGCCCAGGGGGGUAGGGUGCGGCCCUGACCCUCGUGGCCACCUCGAAGCUUCCCUGACGUAUACUCCAAGUCUCCUGGAUUGCUUCCGUUCCAAAAAUAACUCUCCCAAAGGUUUCAUUCCGUUUGGACUCCGUUUGAUAUUCCUUUUCUUCGAAACACUGAAAUAGGCAAGAAAACAGCAAUUUGGGCUGGGCCUCCGGUUAGUAGGUUAGUCCCAAAAAUGAUAUAAAAGUGUAGAGUAAAGCCCAUAAACAUCCAAAACGGGUAAUAUAAUAGCAUGGAACAAUCAAAAAUUAUAGAUACGUUGGAGACGUAUCAAGCAUCCCCAAGCUUAAUUCCUGCUCGUCCUCGAGUAGGUAAAUGAUAAAACAGAAUUUUAGAUGUGGAAUUCUACCUAGAAUAUUUCUCAAUGUAAUUUUUUUUAUUGUGAGAUGAAUGUUCAGAUCCAAAUGAUUCAAAAUAAAAAGUUCAUAUUGACAUAAGAAAUAGUAAUACUUCAAGCACACUAACAAGUAAUCAUGUCUUCUCAAAAUAACAUGGCCAAAGAAAGUUUAUCCCUACAAAAUCAUAUAGUUAGGCUAUGCUUCAUUUUCGUCACACAAAAUACUCCCAUCAUGCACAACCUCGGUUUCAUCCAAGCAAUUGGUUCAUACUUUUUAACGCGCUUCAGCCUUUUUCAACUCUCACGCAAUACAUGAGCGUAAGCCAUGGAUAUAGCACUAUGGGUGGAAUAGAAUAUGAUGAUGGAGCUUGUGUGGAGAAGACAAAAAAGGAGAAAGUCUCACAUUGACGAGGCUAAUCAACGGGCUAUGGAGAUGCCCAUCAAUUGUUGUCAACAUGAGGAGUAGGGAUUGCCAUGCAACGGAUGCACUAGAGCUAUAAAUGUAUGAAAGCUCAACAAAAGAAACUAAGUGGGUGUGCAUCCAUUUUGCUUGCUCAUGAAGACCUAGGGCAUUUUGAGAAAGCCCAUCGUUGGAAUAUACAAGCCAAGUUCUAUAAUGAAAAAUUCCCACUAGUAUAUGAAAGUGACAACAUAGGAGACUCUCUAUAUGAAGAACAUGGUGCUACUUUGAAGCACAAGUGUGGAAAAAGAUAGUAACAUUGUCCCCCCCCCCUUUUUGGGCCUUUCUUCCUUUUUGGCCUUUUUUAUUGGCCUUUUUUUAAUGGCCUUUUUUAUUUGGCCUUUCUUUUUUAUAAGGGACAAUGCUCUAAUAAUGAUGAUCAUCACACUUCUAUUUACUUACAACUCAUGAAUUACAACUCGAUACUAGAACAAAAUAUGACUCUAUAUGAGUGCCUCCGGCGAUGUACGGGAUAUGCAAUGAAUCAAGAGUGACAUGUAUGAAAAUUAUGAAGGUGGCUUUGCUACAAAUACGAUGUCAACUACAUGAUCAUGCAAAAGCAACAUGACAAUGAUGAUGCAUGUCAUGAUAAACGGAACAGUGGAAAGUUGCAUGGCAAUAUAUCUCGGAAUGGCUAUGGAAAUGCCAUAAUAGGUAGGUAUGGUGGCCGUUUUGAGGAAGAUAUAAGGAGGUUUAUGUGUGAUAGAGCAUAUCGUAUCACAGGUUUGGAUGCACCGGCGAAGUUUGCACCAACUCUCAAGGUGAGAAAGGGCAAUGCACGGUACCGAAGUGGCUAGCAAUGAUGGAAGGGUAAGAGUGCGUAUAAUCCAUGGACUCACAUUAGUCAUAAAGAACUCAUAUACUUAUUGCAAAAGUUUUAUUAGCCCUCGAAGCAAAGUACUACUAAGCAUGCUCCUAGGGGGAGGUUGGUAGGAGUUAACCAUCGCGCGCCCCGACCUCCACACAUAAGGAUGGCAAUUAAAAGAGCACCCCAUGCAACAAAUUUGUUACACAACUUUUACCAUACGUGCAUGCUACAGGACUUGCCAACUUCAACACAAGUAUUUCUCAAUCUCAUAAUUACCCAACUAGCAUGACUCUAAUAUUACCACCUUUAUAUCUCAAAACAAUUAUCAAGCAUCAAAUUGAUCAUAACAUCCAAUUCACUUUCUAUGAUAGUUUUUAUUAUACCCAAAUUGGAUGCCCAUCAUUCUAGGACCAAUUUUAUAACCAUAGCAAAUACCAUGUUGUUCUAAAAGACUCUCAAAAUAAUAUAAGUGAAGCAUGAGAGAUUAACAAUUUCUAAAAAAUAAAACCGUCGUCGUGCUCUAAAAAUAUAUAAGUGAAGCACUAGAGCAAUAUUGUCUAGCUCAAAAGAUAUAAGUGAAGCACAUAGAGUAUUCUAAUAAAUUCCGAAGCAUGUGUGUCUCUCCCAAAAGGUGUGUAAAGCAAGGAUGAUUGUGGUAAACUAAAAAGCAAAGACUCAUAUCAUACAAGACGCUCCAAGCAAAACACAUAUCAUGUGGUGAAUAAAAAUAUAACUCCAAGUAAAGUUACCGAUAGACGAAGACGAAAGAGGGGAUGCCAUCUGGGGCAUCCCCAAGCUUAGGCUCUUGGUUGUCCUUGAAUAUUACCUUGGGGUGCCUUGGGCAUCCCCAAGCUUAGGCUCUUGCCACUCCUUAUUCCAUAGUCCAUCGAAUCUUUACCCAAAACUUGAAAACUUCACAACACAAAACUCAACAGAAAACUCGUAAGCUCCGUUAGUAUAAGAAAAUAAUUCACCACUUAUGUACUGUUGUGAACUCAUUAUAAAUUUGUAUGGGUGUAAUAUCUACUGUAUUCCAACUUCUCUAUGGUUCAUACCCUCCGAUACUACUCAUAGAUUCAUCAAAAUAAGCAAACAACACAUAGAAAACAGAAUCUGUAAAAAAAACAGAACAGUUUGUAGUAAUCUGUAUCAUUCGAAUACUUCUAUAACUCCAAAACUUCUACCAAAUUAUGAAAACCUGAGUAAUUUGUGUACCAAUCCAUAGCAAAAAGAAUUAGAUCAAAAUCACGUUUCUGUGAAUUAUCAAAACUAAUUUACUUGGUGCAAAAGUUUCUGAUUUUCAGCAGGAUCAACACAACUAUCACCGUAAGCUAUUCUAAAGGUCUUACUUGGCACUUUAUUGAAACAAAAGCUAUAAAACAUGAUUAUUACAGUAGUAUAAUCAUGUGGACACACAAAAAUAGUAAAGGUAAAUAUUGGGUUGUCUCCUAACAAGCGAUUUUCUUUAAUGCCUUUUAGCUAGGCAUGAUGGUUUCAAUGAUGCUCGCAUAAAAGAUAAGAACUGAAACAUAAAGAGAGCAUAAUGUAGCAUAUUACUAACACAUUUAAGUCUAACCCACUUCCUAUGCAUAGGGAUUUUGUGAGCAAACAACUUAUGGGAACAAUAAUCAACUAGCAUAGGAAGGCAAAACAAGCAUAACUUCAAGAUUUUAAGCACAUAGAGAUGAGACUUGAUAUUAUUGCAAUUCCUACAAGCAUAUGUUCCUCCCUCAUAAUAAUUUUCAGUAGCGUCAUGAAUGAAUUCAACAAUAUAACCAGCACCUAAAGCAUUCUUUUCAUGAUCUACUUGCAUAGAAAUUUUACUACUCUCCACAUAAGCAAAAUCUUCUUAUUCGGAAUAGUGGGAGUAUCAUAAGAGACUCGAAUACUAUAAAUUGUUUCCACAUUAAAAGAGUAGUGUUAAGAAAAGGGGUAAUCAUAAUUAUGACAAGUUUUAUAAAUAUAAUCAUCACUACUUUUUAUAGCAUAAGUUUCAUCAAAAUAAUCAUCAUAAGUAGCAACUUUGUUCUCAUCAUAAUCAAUUGAAACCUUUUCCAAAAUAGUGGAUUCACCACUAAAUAACGUCAUGACCUCUCCAAAUCCACUUUCAUAAAUAUCAAAAUAAGAUUCAGCAUUCUCCAAAAUAGUGGGAUCAUUACUUCCUAAAGUUGACACUCUUCCAAACCCACUUUCAACAAUAUAAUCAUCAUAAGUAGGAGGCAUGAUAUCAUCAUAACAACUUUGCAUAUCAAAACUUGGGAGGCUAAAAAUAUCACCUUCAUUAAACGUAGCAUCCCCAAGCUUGGGACAAACAUUAAUUGCAGCAAAUAUAUUCUCAAACAUGUCAUUUUCAUCAAACAUAGCAUCCCCAAGCUUGGGCCUUUUCAUAUCAUAAGCGUAAUCACACUCAUCAUUAAUAGUAUGGAUAGCACCAAUAGUAUAACAAUUAUCAUCAUCACAAUGAGUAAUAGGAGCAACAUCAUUUGGGAGGGAUACCUUUCUACCUUUGCUUCUCCAUCUCUUCUUUUUCUUCUUCACAUCGUGUGUGGGUUUAACUCUCUUUUUGGAGCUCCUUAUUAAUGAGAUUGGUUGAAUAGAAAGCUCCUCCUCGUUAAUAAUAGGAGGAUAUUGGGAAGUCUCUUCCCUUUCAUUAGUAUUCUCUUCAUCUUCUAUUUGCUUUCUUAUAGAUCACUGAAUAUGAUAUGUUUGAUUCCUUGCAAUAGUUUUGCGAUAUGAAGAUGGUGAUAUUAGAGUCAUGCUAGUGGGUAGUUGUGGAUUGUAGAAAUACUUGUGUUGAAGUUCGUGAUUCCCGUAGCAUGCACGUAUGGUGAACCGUUAUGUAACGAAGUUGGAGCAUGAGGUAUUUAUUGAUUGUCUUCCUUAUGAGUGGUGGUCGGAGACGAGCGAUGGUCUUUUCCUACCAAUCUACCCCCCUAGGAGCAUGUGCGUAGUACUUUGUUUCGAUGACUAAUAGAUUUUUGCUAUAAGUAUGUGAGUUCUUUAUGACUAAUGUUGAGUCCAUGGAUUAUAUGCACUCUCACCCUUCCAUCAUUGUUAGCCUCUUCGGUACCAUGCAUUGCCCUUUCUCACCUCGAGAGUUGGUGCAAACUUCGUCGGUGCAUCCAAACCCCGUGAUACGAUACACUCUAUCACACAUAAGCCUCCUUAUAUCUUCCUCAAAACAGCCACCAUACCUACCUAUCAUGGCAUUUCCAUAGCCAUUCCGAGAUAUAUUGCCAUGCAACUUCCAUCAUCAUCAUAUACAUGACUUGAGCAUUCAUUGUCAUGCAUAUUACUUUGCAUGAUCGUAAGAUAGCUAGCAUGAUGUUUUCAUGGCUUGCCCGUUUUUUGAUGUCAUUGCUAUGCUAGAUCAUUACACAUCCCGGUACACCGCCGAAGGCAUUCGUAUAGAGUCAUAUCUUUGUUUUAGAUAUCGAGUUGUAAUAUUGAGUUGUAAGUAAAUAUAAGUGUGAUGAUCAUCAUUAUUAGAGCAUUGCCCCAUGGAAAAAAAUAGGCCAAAGAAGCCUAAAUAAAAAGGUGGGGGGUGGGGCAAAGAAGACCGCCAAAAAAAAGAGAAAAAAGGGGGCAAUGUUACUAUCCUUUUACCACACUUGUGCUUCAGAGUAGCACCAUGUUCUUCAUAUAGAGAGUCUCCUAUAUUGUCACUUUCAUAUACUAGUGGGAAUUUUCAUUAUAGAACUUGGCUUGUAUAUUCUGAUGAUGGGCUUCCUCAAAUGCGUGAGGUCUUCAUGAGCAAGCAAGUUGGAUGCACACCCACUUAGUUUCCAGUUUGAGCUUUCAUACACUUAUAGCUCUUAGUGCAUCCGUUGCAUGGCAAUCCCUACUCCUCGCAUUGACAUCAAUUGAUGGGCAUCUCCAUAGCCCGUUGAUUAGCCGCAUCAAUGUGAGACUUUCUCCCUUUUUGUCUUCUCCACACAACCUCCACCAUCAUAUUCUAUUCCACCUAUAGUGCUAUGUCCAUGGCUCACACUCAUGUAUUGCAUGAAAGUUGAAAAGGUUUGAGAACGUCAAAAGUAUGAAACAAUUGCUUGGCUUGUCAUCGGGGUUGUGCAUGAUUUGAGUAUUUUGUGUGGUGAAGAUGGAGCAUAGCCAGACUAUAUGAUUUUGUAGGGAUAACUUUCUUUGGCCAUGUUGUUUUGAAAAGACAUGAUUGCUUUAUUAGUACAUUUGAAGUAUUAUCAUUUUUAUGUCAAAUGAUAGAUUAUUGCUUUGAAUCACUCGUGUCUUAAUAUUCAUGCCAUGAUUAUAUAUAUGAUCAAGAUUAUGCUAGGUAGCAUUCCACAUCAAAAAUUAUCUUUUUAUCAUUUACCUACUCGAGGACGAGCAAGAAUUAAGCUUGGGGAUGCUGAUACGUCUCCGUCGUAUCUAUAAUUUUUGAUUGCUCCAUGCCAAUAUUAUUCAACUUUCACAUACUUCUUUUGGCAACUUUUUAUAAUAUUUUUGGGACUAACAUAUUGAUCCGGUGCCCAGUGCCAGUUCCUUUUUGUUGCAUGUUUUAUGUUUCACAGAAAACCCAUAUCAAACGGAGCUAAACGGGAUAAAAACGGACGGAGAAUAUUUUUGGAAUAUUUGUGAUAUUUGGGAAGAAAAAUCAACGCGAGACGGUGCCCGAGGGGGCCACGAGGCAGGGGGCAUGCCCCUGACCCUCGUGGGCACCCCGUAAGGCGGUUGCUGCUCUUCUUUGGCCGCAAGAAAGCUAAUUUUUGAGAAAAAAAUCUUGGCGAAGGUUUCAGUCCAAUCGGAGUUACGGAUCUCCGGAUAUAUACGAAACGGUGAAAGGGCAGAAUCAAGAACGCAGAAACAGAGAGAGGCAGAGAGACAGAUCCAAUCUCGGAGGGGCUCUCGCCCCUCCCAUGCCAUGGAAGCCAAGGACCAGAGGGGAAACCCUUCUCCCAUCUAGGGAGAAGGUCAAGGAAGAAGAAGAAUAAGGGGGGCUCUCUCCCCCUCGCUUCCGGUGGCGCCGGAACACCGCCGGGGCCAUCAUCAUCACCAUGAUCUACACCAACAACUCCACCGCCUUCAUCACCAACUCUUCCCUCCUCUAUGCAGCGGUGUAACCCCUCUUUUACCUAAUGUAAUCUCUACUUAAACAUGGUGCUCAACGCUAUAUAUUAUUUCCCAAUGAUGUAUAGCUAUCUUAUGAUGUUUGAGUAGAUCCGUUUUGUCCUAUGGGUUAAUUGAUGAUCGUGAUUGGUUUGAAUUGCAUGUUUUAUUAUUGGUGCUGUCCUAUUGUGCCCUCCGUGUCGCGCAAGCAUGAGGGAUUCCCGCUGUAGGGUGUUGCAAUAUGUUCAUGAUUCGCUUAUAGUGGGUUGCUUGAGUGACAGAAGCAUAAACCCGAAUAAGGGGGUUCUGGCGUAUGGGAUAAAGGGGACUUGAUGCUUUAAUGCUAUGGUUGGGUUUUACCUUAAUGAUCUUUAGUAGUUGCGGAUGCUUGCUAGAGUUCCAAUCAUAAGUGCAUAUGAUCCAAGAAGAGAAAGUAUGUUAGCUUAUGCCUCUCCCUAAAAAAAAUUGCAAUAGUGAUUACCGGUUUAGUUAUCGAUUGCCUAGGGACAAAUAACUUUCUCGUGACAAAAAGCUCUCUAUUAAAACUAACUUAGUUUUGUCUUCAUCUAAACAGCCCCUACUUUUUAUUUACGUGCUCUUUAUUAUCUUGCAAACCUAUCCUAUCAUACCUGCAAAGUCCUUAUAGUUUCUUACUUGUUCUAGGUAAAGCGAACGUCAAGCGUGCAUAGAGUUGUAUCGGUGGUCGAUAGAACUUGAUGGAAUAUUUGUUCUACCUUUAGCUCCUCGUUUUGUUCAACACUCUUAUUAUCGAAAGAGGCUACAAUUUAUCCCCUAUACUUGUGGGUUAUCACGCCACCAGACCUUUUUUGCCCUCCAUGCAGUCACGUUCUAGGGCACCAUGUCCUCCAAGCCCUCCUCGUCCGCGCUUUAGGGCACGACGGAGCGGAUGUGCGNNNNNNNNNNNNNNNNNNNNNNNNNNNNNNNNNNNNNNNNNNNNNNNNNNNNNNNNNNNNNNNNNNNNNNNNNNNNNNNNNNNNNNNNNNNNNNNNNNNNNNNNNNNNNNNNNNNNNNNNNNNNNNNNNNNNNNNNNNNNNNNNNNNNNNNNNNNNNNNNNNNNNNNNNNNNNNNNNNNNNNNNNNNNNNNNNNNNNNNNNNNNNNNNNNNNNNNNNNNNNNNNNNNNNNNNNNNNNNNNNNNNNNNNNNNNNNNNNNNNAUGGAGUUUGAGAACGCCUAGUGGGAUGGCCUGGAGGUGCAGAUCGCGCUUUCGUCCGUCGGGGAUGUCAUCAUCCCUGAGCUGGAGGAGGCAGACGACGCGGAACUCCGGUGGAACCCGGCAGUGGUGGGCCAGUCCUGGUCGUGAACUUCGACUUUGUCGUGCACGCGGGAGUUGGCGUCUGCGCCACACGUGUUGGUUGGCACCGACACAUGAUCACCGCUCCACGUGCCACCGCCGCCCCCCUGCUGUGCAACCGCCACAGUCGCCACCAGCCCACCUAUGGCAGUCGCCUCCCUUCGUCAACCUCAGCACAGACGAGGAAGAGGGCAACCAAGACGGUGGCGAGGCCAUGCAGUGAACACGGCGGGGACGUCUUGUUCUUUUCUAUAAUAAUUUUGAGUUUAAGUUGAUGCAUGAUGAAUAGUUCGGCCAUGACUUUUGGACGUUAAUGUAAUAUAUAAUUAUCGUUUAGAUUAUUUUUUAUCUCCUUUUUUGUUUGAAUUUUAGUUUAAAUCUGAACGCUUUCACCAAAUGUGACGGCCGGUCGGGUGCGACAACCGGCGGACGACCGCAAAUGGACGCUUGUGUCCACUUUGCCGACCCAAACGGACAGAAUCCGGAUAAAGCAGACGUCUGUUUGGGGUCGUCCAACAACUUUUGGAGUCGGCCUUAAAACACACAGCCAUAGAGCAGGUCUUAGAGCAUCUCCAGCCGCGCCCCAACAUGCCCCCCACCCAAGGCCCUUUUUCGUCGCCGACGGAGAAAAUUCGGCUCGGUCGCACCCACAGAAGCCCAAUUUUCACUGUUUAGGGCCGAUUUUGGCGCCGCCGGACCCAGGCCGAACCCGGCGCACUGGGGGGCAUCCAGGGGCAACGGGGAAAACGUUUUUUGGUGUGAAAAGGAGUGGGUCCUCAGAGUUAGUGAAUCGCCGCCUUCCUCGUCCUCAUCGCCUCGGUUCCCACGGGAAUCAAUGCCAAGGCCGCCACGCCGGUCAGUCUUCAAUUGAUGCCUCACGGGCAGCGCAGUGAAGGCGUGGCGACACGCGUCCCCUCCCGCCACGCGGCACAUGGUGGCAGCUCUCCCACCGCCCAUCUGCAGCUAUAAGCCGUCUUCCCUCGCCGGUGAACGCACAAACUCUCGCCACCGACACCCUUCUCUCUACCUCUCGCCGCCGAUGCCUCUCUCACCCACUCUCUCCCACGCCAAUGUCAAUGGUCGAGCGCUUCCCAGGCGACGACGGAGUGGCGAACGGCUUCGGUCGCCGCCAUCUGCAUGAGGUUGAGGCGCGCCUCCUCUACGAGGCCGACUACCCGGUGCCCCUGAACAUGCGGGUGUCGGGCACCUGGAGGCUCGGCGCUGGCGGUGUCCCGGUGCCGCCUGCGCCAACCGGAGUGGCCCGGCGAGCCGAAAUCCGGUUAUCGCUGCCGGAGCCACAACGGAAUCAGCCGAGGUACGACCCCGACGAGCAACACGCUGUGGACGGCGUACUUCGAGCGGUGCCACGAGGAGCAGAUUGUCGCCACCAGCGGCGUCGAGCCCCGCGGCCGCCACAACUCCGAGGGGAGGCGCCGAUGGUGGGGCGUCCCAGGCCGAACCCUUGAGGCCGUCCUUGAGCACAUUGAGGCCUGGGGUACCCGGCGCCCCCUCCUUCUCUCGUCGCCGCGACAGCUCCUGGAUGCCACGGCGAAUGGAGACGGCGACAUCAUCGUCGUCGGGCUCUAGCUCUCUGUCCUCCAGCUCGCCGGCACUUCGCCCCGUCAAGCCGGAGCUGCAGGAGACGCCACUAGGGCGCCGCAUACGCGGCGGCGCCCUUGUCAUCAACGAGGGCGGCCGCCCCUCUCCUUCCUACGAAGACCGAUCCAGGUUUGCUCCCCGUGAAGAAGGAGCACGAGGCCAUGCCCGCCGCCUAUGAGACCGCCCUCAAGUGGGUGAAGGCGGACUACGUCCGCGAGCAGAUGGAGCGCCAGCGCCGGGCGAUCGUAGAGAUCGCCGCUCGGCGCCGCGGACGCGCGGAGGGUGGCGUGGUCGUCCUCGACAGCGACGACGAGGAUGCGCCUGGGCCAUCCAACCCCCCGCGCAUCGGCGACGCUGGUCAGGGGUGCAGCAGAGACGGUGACGACAGCGACUACACCUGGUUCUACAGGCUCCUCGGCAUGUAGAUGGCGGGAGGCAGCAGUGGCUGGGCGUAGUCGUUUUUAAUUUGUGUUUUUAGUUUUUUAUACAAAUAUCAAUGAAAAUCGUCUAGUUUGGACGAAAUUGUGUCUUGUUUGGCCAAUUUUAUAUUUCAAAAAAUGGCAUCUGGGGCAACCUGGGUGCGGCGGCUGGGAAACCCAGUCACCCCCACGACGAAAUUAUUGCGUUUUUUUUUUUUUGAGUCCUGGGCCGAACCGGAGAUGCUCUUACGGUCAUACCCAUGUUCGGCCCAUUAUACCUGGACUAGGCCGGGCCGGCGUUAUCCGAGAGUUCUGAAGGCGCGCUGCUCAUCCGAGAGCUGGAAGAAUCGGCGGCGCACAUGGAGGCGCAGCCGCGGGAGAUCUUCCUCGGCGCCGGCGGCCACUGCUUCCUCGUCCUCGUCCUCGUCGCUCACGUAAUACACCCAAACCCUACCUCGUCCCGUUUCUCUUCACCUGCGGAUGUUGCAUCAGAUCCGCCUACAUCUGCAAGUAGGGAUUAAGGCAUAGAUGGAUUCUUUCUGCUUAGUCUCGAAGAAGAAAAGCAAUCCAGAUUGAGACUUUCCCACUUUAGAUCUCCAACAUUGCAGAUAAUAAUAGAGGGUGUCGGUCACCGAUUCUCAAUUUGCUCUGAAAUUCGUAUGUGCUCUGCUUUUAUUUUUCUGUCAGCAUGGACACUUGCCAGAUACAUUAUUUGAUUGAGAAAUACUAGGCGAUUGUGGUGUGUAAUCUGUAUGAACAAAGAUCUACAAGAAACUUAAACAAGCCGUCUAUCUAGCGCGUAUUAUAUACAUAUAACUUCCCCAUAUAAUUUAUAUUCAGUUUUUUCAUCAUUGUUGAUCUUAUUCUGAACUUCUCAGGAGCGACAACUCAAUGCGAUUAGUACCUUUGUUCAGUUCAGUGUAUGAUGGGAACAUAGUUUGGCGUUGAUGUCCUAACGACACGCAUCACUCAUGUUUUUUAGAAUCUUGGUAGCUCAUCUUGGUAACUCAUGUUCUUUUUUAUACAGUUAUACCUUGUUUCGCAAGCCUAACCUUUUUCUUAAAUUUGCUUUGUUGAACAGGGAGAGACCCAUCAUGCAAAUAAUGGCCAACAGGACAUGUUCUGCUUCUGCCUCCUCACUCUUUGCUUCAUCUCGGCCACAAGGAUGGGCAGAGCUCCCGGACGACCUGCUCCGACCCAUUGUCGCUCUACUACGCUCGUUCCGCGACCUCCUCGCCUUCGGUACCACUUGUCGUCAUUGGUGUGAUCUCUUCUCAGCACGCAGGUCCUCUCUCCAGCCUCUGCUCCUCCACCCCAAUCUCCGUACCGACGGUGGACAGACUCUCUCGCAUAACUGUUGGACCUUAUUCCACAAAGGCGCAUGGAGAUUGGCUGACCCUGCUGCCACCUCAUCCUCUCGCAGUUUUCUUUCCUUGAGUGACCUCAGAAGCAUGACCUUUCUGCGCUACUCCCAUGGUCAGCUCAUCUUCUACGACAACAAUGGGUUCCAUAUUGUUAAUCCGUUCAGUGGCACUAAGGUUGGUCCUCCUUCCCUCCAGUCAGUUCACUUCACUUGCAUCAGCUAUGUCACCUUAACUGCCCCUGUUGCAUCCACUGAUUCGCAUCUCCUUGUCGGUGCUGGAGCCUAUCUGUUCCUGUGGCGCAUCGGGAGCGACUCUUGGACAAAACACAGUCCUAAAGUUGUUCGUUUUUCCAUUGAACAAAAUGUGGCCUUCAAGGGCAAGACAUAUGCCCUAGGGUCUUUCGGGUGGUUCUACAUCAUUCACUUGUCACCCAGUCUCAUUGUUGAGAAGUUUAAAGUUGUGUUCGAGGAAGAUAAAACCGAAGAUCUCUAUUCGGCAAAUGAAAAAGCAUGGCUACUGGUGUGUGGUGACACGCUUCUCUUGAUCAAACUUGUGGAGGCGGGAAGACGGAUGCGCUCGGAGGCCUUCCAGUUCAUGCCCUUCAAGCUUGAGUCAUUGGACACCAUGACCAAGAAGGCAAGGUGGGUGAAAGUGAACAAGUUAGAUAACUGGGCCAUCUUUAUCAGCAUUGACGAGCGGUGCAAGGCGUUGCCGUGCAUGAACCCAGAGGGAUGGGGAGGAAGGAGCAACCACAUAUACUUCCCAAGUUAUCAGUCUGAAAAACCUUGGGCUGCAGUCCAACUAUGGGAAAAAUGUUAUUACCGUUCGACACAGCUCUUCAACACUGGAAGACGGUACCUGAAAUUGGAGUCAACCUGGGUCUUCCCCGCGCGUUUCCUUGUUACGUCCUGCGAUGAUCUUACGGCCGUGAGUGCGGUUGAUGAUUAGCUUCUGAUACAGCUUUGGUGGGAGGAUUCUACUAUGUUGCAGUAGCAAGAUGAGUAGUUCACUGAAUGUUCUUGACGUGUUUCAAAACUUGCAUUACAAACAGAAGUGUAGAUUAAGUUAUCAGAUUAUGUACUUUCCUCUCUUUUUCUGUGGCAAUUACAAGGGAGUUUCUUACAGAUUGUGGAGUUUUCUUGUACCUGGGCACUUGAUAACAUGGGCUAGGCCUGUAACUUCCCUUUAAUACAUAGAUAGCUAAGAGUAAUUGUACUAUGAUUGUUGAUUAUUCACGUGAUGUGCUUGAGCAUAUGACAGUCUUAUUGGGUGGAAAUGUGAAUCUUGAGAACAUAGCUUGGGCAGAGCUACCAUUUUUUAACUGAACAUUGUACGCAUUUUGGGCUGGAGAUUUGCAAGGUCACCAAGAAUUAGAGUGAGGAUGCAAGUCCAUAGCAUCAGGUUAAUAUAGACUGCAAGUUCAGCCAACAAACAUAUAACCAGCAUAUAUGCAUUCAGCACAAAUUUUAUAUUUCACACCAACAAAAACUAGGCAGACAGAGUGUUCGACAACCAAAAAGCUCUGCAUUUGCACGUAGCUUCAGCAAACAGCUCUGCGUGCAUUUGAUUAUCUCUGUUUAGAAGAAGAUCAAGCUACAAAUAGAUGUAUGGACCAAACAAAGCACAUAACUAAAAUAAAGCCCAGGCACAUAUCUGACAUGGUGCACACAAAAAAUGCUGAAGACCCAAGGAGCUAGUAUUGAUUCAGGAUGCAAACCCUUAUCUUUUGUAUGCAAAAGAGGAGUAAUUAACAAAGUUCAGUGAAAACAGCAACAUGUAGCACAAGUUUUGCCUCCAGGAAUGUACACUGGGUGGCAAACAGAGAUUAUUACAAAUCUUGAUGUACUCCGUCAAAGGAGCUGAAACUAGAAGGAACAUAGCGACAAAAAGUCCCCAAGUGCAGCCAACGACAACAAGACAACUGCGCGCUGCAAUGACACGAUCUCAUACCCAAGCUGCAAAGGAUGUAGGAUUGCGAGCAAGAUAAGCAUUGAUCGUCGCAAAACAAGGUUCUGGCUCCAACUCCUCAUUUUGGUUGCCAUCUACUGGGUAUGAAAAUACCCGAGCAUUUUCAUCCAACUGAUAGACAAGGCCACCCCUUAAACCCAUUCUCUCUGGAUUCACUAAGAGUCGUGGCUGUCUAUUACGUUUCUCGCCAAAGAAGAACGCCCACUUCUUCAAGCCUUCCUCUUCCACGAUCACAUACUUUGCAGGUUCAGUUGAGAAGUCAAUGGAGAAGGCUUCCCCGUUACGACCAAGUAGGAGAAGUGUGUCUUCACAAGCCACCAAAUUUCCGGAAAGCACGUACGGGUCCAUAUAAUCUCUGCAAUCAACUCUUAGUACCUCAACAUGAAACUGAGGUGCCAAAUGCACGGUGUAUAGUUUUUGACGCAUCCUCAUAAUGACCCGGCCUUUGAAGGACACCAUCUCCUUGAUCAAAUGUGCAUUUAGAAAAUCGCAGUGCAACCAAGAGGGGCUCCCAACUCGCCAAGCGUACAGGCAGUGCGGGCUGCUGACAAAUAGAUAUGAAUCUGGUGACGCCUUUGGAGAUAUGAAGGUUUUGUAGCAUAGUUGACUCAAUGGGAAAG
rnacentral:lncRNA from 1 species